rnacentral:rRNA from 1 species
AACGAACGCUGGCGGCAGGCUUAACACAUGCAAGUCGAACGCAUCCUUCGGGGUGAGUGGCAGACGGGUGAGUAAAGCGUGGGAACGUGCCCUUCAGUUCGGGAUAACCCAGGGAAACUUGGGCUAAUACCGGAUACGUGCGAGAGCAGAAAGAUUUAUCGCUGAAGGAUCGGCCCGCGUCUGAUUAGCUAGUUGGUGGGGUAAUGGCCCACCAAGGCGACGAUCAGUAGCUGGUCUGAGAGGAUGAUCAGCCACAUUGGGACUGAGACAAGGCCCAAACUCCUACGGGAGUCAGCAGUGGGGAAUAUUGGACAAUGGGCGCAAGCCUGAUCCAGCCAUGCCGCGUGAGUGAUGAAGGCCUUAGGGUUGUAAAGCUCUUUCGUCCGGGACGAUAAUGACGGUACCGGAAGAAGAAGCCCCGGCUAACUUCGUGCCAGCCGCCGCGGUAA